AGACGUCUACAUUAGAUACCCCCGUAGUCCCAGCCGUAAACUAUGCGCGUUAGGUGUAUCGGUGACCACGAGUUACCGAGGUGCCGAAGGGAAACCGUGAAACGUGCCGCCUGGGAAGUACGGUCGCAAGGCUGAAACUUAAAGGAAUUGGCGGGGAGCACCACAACAGGUAGAGCCUGCGGUUUAAUUGGACUCAACGCCGGGAAGCUCACCGGAUAGGACAGCAGAAUGAUUGCCGGGCUGAAGACCCUGCAUGACUAGCUG
rnacentral:rRNA from 1 species